UAAAGCCCUGUGGGGAGAGACGAAUAAGUAGAGGCAAAUACCCUUUAUGAUGACGGUAUCUCCUUAGCAAGCACCGGCUAACUCUGUGC
rnacentral:rRNA from 1 species